AGUGAACGCUGGCGGUAGGCCUAACACAUGCAAGUCGAACGGCAGCACAGGAGAGCUUGCUCUCUGGGUGGCGAGUGGCGGACGGGUGAGGAAUACAUCGGAAUCUACUUUUUCGUGGGGGAUAACGUAGGGAAACUUACGCUAAUACCGCAUACGACCUAUGGGUGAAAGCAGGGGACCUUCGGGCCUUGCGCGAUUGAAUGAGCCGAUGUCGGAUUAGCUAGUUGGCGGGGUAAAGGCCCACCAAGGCGACGAUCCGUAGCUGGUCUGAGAGGAUGAUCAGCCACACUGGAACUGAGACACGGUCCAGACUCCUACGGGAGGCAGCAGUGGGGAAUAUUGGACAAUGGGCGCAAGCCUGAUCCAGCCAUACCGCGUGGGUGAAGAAGGCCUUCGGGUUGUAAAGCCCUUUUGUUGGGAAAGAAAUCCAGUCGGUUAAUACCUGGUUGGGAUGACGGUACCCAAAGAAUAAGCACCGGCUAACUUCGUGCCAGCCGCCGCCGUAAAAC
rnacentral:rRNA from 1 species